rnacentral:tRNA from 1 species
GUCUGGUUAGCUCAAUCGGUAGAGCAUGAAGUACUCAAUUUCGGAGUUGCGGGUUCCAACCCCGCAUUGGGCG